CGAUUCCAACUUCACGCAGUCGAGUUGCAGACUGCGAUCCGGACUACGAUACACUUUCUGGGAUUAGCUCCCCCUCGCGGGUUGGCGGCCCUCUGUAUGUACCAUUGUAUGACGUGUGAAGCCCUACCCAUAAGGGCCAUGAGGACUUGACGUCAUCCCCACCUUCCUCCGGUUUGUCACCGGCAGUCUCAUUAGAGUGCCCUUUCGUAGCAACUAAUGACAAGGGUUGCGCUCGUUGCGGGACUUAACCCAACAUCUCACGACACGAGCUGACGACAGCCAUGCAGCACCUGUGUUCAGGCUCCCUUUCGGGCACCCUCCAAUCUCUCGGAGGUUCCUGACAUGUCAAGGGUAGGUAAGGUUUUUCGCGUUGCAUCGAAUUAAUCCACAUCAUCCACCGCUUGUGCGGGUCCCCGUCAAUUCCUUUGAGUUUUAAUCUUGCGACCGUACUCCCCAGGCGGUCUACUUCACGCGUUAGCUGCGUUACCAAGUCAAUUAAGACCCGACAACUAGUAGACAUCGUUUAGGGCG
rnacentral:rRNA from 1 species